GACGAACGCUGGCGGCGUGCUUAACACAUGCAAGUCGAGUGGAAAGGCCCUUCGGGGUACUCGAGCGGCGAACGGGUGAGUAACACGUGAGUAAUCUGCCCUUGGCUUUGGGAUAACUACCGGAAACGGUGGCUAAUACCGGAUACGACAACCGUCUGCAUGGGCUGGUUGUGGAAAGUUUUUUCGGCCAGGGAGGUGCGCGCGGCCUGUCAGCCUGGUGGGGGGGUAAUGGCCUACCAGGGCUCCGCCGGGUAGCCGGCCUGGGAGGGUGACCCGCCACACUGGGACUGAGACACGGCGCAGACGCCUACGGGAGGCAGCAGGGGGGAAGAUGGGACAAUGGGCGGAAGCCUGAUCCAGCAACGCCGCGUGAGGGAUGACGGCCUUCGGGUUGUAAACCUCUUUCAGUACCGACGAAGCGCCGAUGAUGGUGGUGACGGUAGGUACAGAAGAAGCACCGGCCAACUACGU
rnacentral:rRNA from 1 species